rnacentral:rRNA from 1 species
AACGAACGCUGGCGGCAUGCCUAACACAUGCAAGUCGAACGAGACCUUCGGGUCUAGUGGCGCACGGGUGCGUAACGCGUGGGAACCUGCCCUUAGGUUCGGAAUAACUCCCCGAAAGGGGUGCUAAUACCGGAUAAUGUCUUCGGACCAAAGAUUUAUCGCCUUUGGAUGGGCCCUCGUUGGAUUAGAUAGUUGGUAGGGUAAAAGCCGACCAAGGCGAGGAUCCAUAGCUGGUCUGAGAGGAUGAUCAGCCACACUGGGACUGAGACACGGCCCAGAAUCCUACGGGAGGCAGCAGUGGGGAAUAGUGGACAAUGGGCGAAAGCCUGAUCCAGCAAUGCCGCGUGAGUGAUGAAGGCCUUAGGGUUGUAAAGCUCUUUUACCCGGGAUGAUAAUGACAGUACCGGGAGAAUAAGCUCCGGCUAACUCCGUG